GGUAAGCGGGGGCCAGGGGCAGCGGUAAUAGCGAGGGUCCAAGCGGUGUUCGGAGUGACUGGGCGUAAAUGGUGGGUAGGGGGUGGGGUAAGUCGGAUGUGAAAGCGCCGAGCUCAAUGCGGAAAGGGGAUUGGAAACUACCCUGCUGGAGGGUCGGAGGGGGGACUGGAAUUCUCGGUGUAGCAGUGAAAUGCGUAGAUAUCGAGAGGAACACCAGUGGCGAAGGCGAGUCCCUGGACGACUCCUGACACUGAGGCACGAAAGCUAGGGGAGCAAACAGGAUUAGAUACCCGGGUAGUC
rnacentral:rRNA from 1 species